GGGGUUGAUAUUUUUUUCAUUUUUUUAUUAGUCUUGGAAAUUUUUAUAGAGUCGGCCACGCCCACUCGAACGCACACCAACCGCAAAAAACUGUUACUGUUGAAGAGUCUCCUUGGCACUUCCACUAGCUAAGUAACGGGUAUCAGAUAUUCGGGGAACUCGACUACAGCGUUUUCUCUUGCUGUUAUAGUAUUCGUGCAACGAGCAUCGCAUGUAUGAAUGCCUCGUCACUUUUACAGCAGUCUAACAUCUUGACAUCUUUUGCAAUUUUCUCCAACAAUAACACAAAUAUAAAUCAGUACAAGUUUUAUUUUUAAGUAAACCUUUUGAUUAAAUAUUUUAGUGUAAUAUAUAUACUUAUUUAUAUAAUUAAAACUAAUAAAAAAGUAAAAACAAAAAAUAAAACAUCUUAAAAAAAUAUAAAAACAACAAUACAUCGUUUUAUUUGGGAAAUUUUUUUGAAAAAAAAUGUAAUUCAGGGCUUUGAAAUUACCCUCAAUUUAGGAACAUUUUUCAAAAUUUUUUUUUUAAAUGCUCUCGAUUUAAAGUGCACCUAUACUUUAAUGGAAAUAAUCCCAAUGCAAGAAAAUUUGCCAUACAUUUCAGAAAAUGGCCUACUUCAAAGUCAACCUACCAUAAAACUAAAGCAAUAUUAUGCUCUCUUUUGAGUGUUAAUUUUUCUUAAAUUGAGCGCAAGUUGGUAAUGGCUCCUUUUUAGGGAUAUUUUCUGAAUUUACAGUGUAAUUUUUAGGGGGAUUUCGGGUAAGCAUUUUUAUGUGUGUAAAAUACUUCGCUUAUUGGGUAGAUAAAAAACCUAUAGAUACGAGUAUAUAAAAUCAUCUCUUGUAAGAGCAUCAAGUAAGCAAAACGUACGACCAAGGAAAGGGACCAAUCAGAAGGUUCUAAAAAAAUAUGAUGUUAUGUAUGCAUAGGACUCCACUUGUUUGAGGAUUGUGAUUUUUUUACAAUUACCUGUGAAGUAAUAGGGUAUACUAGAUUUCCUGAAAAAUAUGUAAAAGGUUAAAGCAUUUACAAAAAAUAAAAAAACAUGUAUGUAAGGUAUUAAAGCCAGUUUAUUAAUAGAAUUAUGCUGGAUGUGUAACAAAAGCUUGCGGGAUGACAAUUAACUGAGAUGGCGCCUCCUCGGCUCUGCUGGCGAUGGCUGCAACUUGAAGACUCAACGACUCGACGACUUGACCCUCCGACACACCAACUUAUAUGCUCGGACUUGAUCCCUCGACGACUACUUUCAACUUGACAACUGGACUCUAACUUUUUA